AUUGAACGCUGGCGGCAGGCCUAACACAUGCAAGUCGAGCGAGCGGCGGACUGGUGCGUAAUGUCUGAGAACCUUCCUGAUUUAGGGGUCUAACUACUGGAAACGUUAGCUAAUACCGCCUACCGUCAGAUGUGCCCAUAUGGCAUUAGCUAGUAGGUGGGGUACUGGCUCACCUAGGCGUAUAGCCAUACCUGGUCUGAGAGGAUGACCAGCCACACUGGAACUGAGACACGGCCCAGACUCCUACGGGAGGCAGCAGUGGGGAAUAUUGCACAAUGGGCGAAAGCCUGAUGGAGCCAUGCCGCGUGUAUGAAGAAGGCCUUCGGAUUGUAAAGUACUGUCAGCGGGGAGGCGUUACCUAAAGAAGAAGCAACGGCUAACUCCGUGCCAGCAGCCGCGGUAAUUC
rnacentral:rRNA from 1 species